AGGAAAGGCAGACCUCCGAGAAGAUUCCGUAAAAGGCCCUUAGGCUAGUCAACGUUGGCUAGGGUUUUGGACCUGUCAUCAACUUGCAGUGUGGCUCUGGGCUGUGCACCGCCAAGGCCAAGGUUGCCAGCUACACAGACUGGAUGAUGGGGCCCCAUGGAGUUGUACCGCGCAGUGGCUUCUCCCAUGGGCUCUCAUGAGAAGCAGAUGAAAUGAUGAUUGUCAUCUCGACCAAUUAUUGAUCACCUGUCAUGUGCCAGGCUCUGUGUUAAGCACUAAACAUUUUACCCUCCCAGACCCCCUACAAGGUGUCUUUGGAAUGUGUCUUCUUCUCUCUCCUACUGCUAUUGCCCUGACCCGUGUUGACCCGAGAGUUUCAGCCCGUGCUAUCCCAGCCAGACGGAUCUUCCUCUCACACCGAGCUCAGCAUGCCCCUCUGGAUAUGGAGAAGGUUGGCAAUAUUCAAAUGCCCACAUCGCAUCAGGCCCUGUUUUACGACCUGUGCUCAUUUCAUUUAACACUGUCCACAACCUUAUGAACUGCCUUAUUAUCCUUAAGCACAAGGAUCAAGAAAUUAUUUCAAGGCCUUUUCCUAGCCGCCCAAACUCCCCACAUAAUGCAGCUCUGAUUUGACUAUCUGGCCUUAGAAUGCACUCUACCCCAGGGCAGCCUUGGUCUGCAUCAGGCUAGUCUCUGCUCAGGGGCAGGGCUGGACGGUGGGCCAGCUCACUGGCAGAAGGCGCGGCCAGACAGUGAAGGCAGAGUUCACGCCUAGCUGGCUGCACUUGGGACACACCGCUCCUACCGCUGCUACUGCUGCUAAUGGGUCAUGGUGGUAGUGGUAGGGAACUGUUAGGGGGUUAACUGCAUCCCCCUGAAACUCGUGUGUUAAAGUCCUAAUGCCCAGUACUUCAGACUGUGACUGGGUUUUCAGGUAGGGCCUUUGAAGAGGUGAUUAAGUUAACAUGAGGUCAUUGGUGGGGGGGGUCGUCAUCCAGUAGGGCUGGUGUCCUCCGGAGAAGAGGUCCCAGACACGCAUGUGGGGAAACCACGUGAGGACACAGGGAGAAGCUGGACCUCCACAGGCCAAAGAGAGAGGCCUCAGGAAAAACCAAAGCUGUCGACAUCUCAAUCUCAGACUUUCCAAAAUGUGAGAAAAUACAUUUCUGUCAUCCCAGCUGCUCAGGCUGGGGUGCCUUG